CCUACGGGAGGCAGCAGUGGGGAAUAUUGCACAAUGGGGGAAACCCUGAUGCAGCAACGCCGCGUGAAGGAAGAAGGAUUUCGGAUUGUAAACUUCUGUUCUUAGUGAAGAAUAAGGAGGGUAGCUAAGGAGCAAGCCACGCCUAACUACGGGCCAGCAGCCGCGGUAAGACGUAGGGGGCAAGCGUUGUCCGGUAUUACUGGGUGUAAAGGGAGCGCAGGCGGGAAGCCAAGUCAGCUGUGAAAACUACGGGCUUAACUUGUAGACUGCAGUUGAAACUGGUUUUCUUGAGUGAAGUAGAGGUUGGCGGAAUUCCGGGUGUAGCGGGGAAAUGCGUAGAUAUUCGGAGGAACACCGGUGGCGAAGGCGGCCAACUGGGCUUUAACUGACGUUGAGGCUCGAAAGUGUGGGGAGCAAACAGGAUUAGAUACCCGUGUAGUC
rnacentral:rRNA from 1 species